CCCACGUGCUCAUAUAAUUGCAACGUACGUCAGCCAUAUUCUGUCCAUUUGUCUGGAUCAGUUGCCGGGGAGUACCAACACUGCAUGAUUCCUCUACCCGUUCAGAUCCAGCUACCCCUACCUCGAUCAUCCAGAACAGCAUCAACAGCACCAAGGACCCCUUCGACAUCGACUCCAUCAACCUCCAGAACACUGUCGACCCCAACGACCCCAUUGACCUCAACAUUCAGAAAUAUGGAUGUCGAAGUUGUACCACCACAAGCUAGACAAGAUUUUGAUUCCGACCAACCCAUUCUUUAAAGGUCCAUUGCCUUAGGAAAUUUAAACUUUUAUGUCUUGUAUCAAGACCCUUUUAAACCAACAUAAUAACAAUUGUUUCAUAAAUAAAUGCCUCCUUAUAUUUUUUACAAUUUUUUGAAAACCUCUCCAAGUUGCUCGUCUAAUGGUGGACCCCGCCCCUUACAAUUCUCAGAGUUCCUCGGAAUGAUUGACCAAAGGAUUAGUGAUGUUAUAUCAAGAACGAUCUCCGCUUAGGCAAGCUACGGUGCUUGCUAGCCAGCUCUGCAGGCAUUAUGUUUUGUACACAAACAUAAACAAUAACUUUUGUUAUUAAAUAGUGUGCUAUGCAUCUUUACUUGUUAUUUAUUGUGGUGAAAUUUCACUAAUGGCCCAAUUUUAAAAAGAGAGCUAUACCAUGAGUCGAAGAAGGUCGUAAUUGAUUUGAAUGCCUGUAUAACGUGUCAACUAAAUGCAUGCUAUAAAGAAUUUCAAAGGUAAGAAAAAAAUGUUUCAUAUAUCUAAGUGACUGAAUGUUUUUCGUACUACCUUCUUCUCAAUUUAAAGAAUAUUGAAAGUGGUAUAUCAGAGUGAAGAAACUUGUGUUUUUCCCUUUACAAGCUCUGCUCUUUCUUACUUCACUUUCAAAUUUCCUCUCUUGUUAUAUAAACAUUUAGCGAUUGCUUUACUUCACACAUUCAAGCAAUGUAUACUGUCCC